GGUUUCCCACGACCUCGGCGCGACGCGCGCGGGAUCCAGUGGAGACUGCUUUCCCAUAGGCCGCCAUCCAGGGCGGGGAAGGGAGCGGACCCUCCCGGCUCCAGAGAAAAGCAGCCUGAUUCGGAGGAACGGGUUGCUUGGGGCGGCUCCCAGCUCGAGUUGUGGGCCCCGCCGCGGGUGCCCUUCGGAAACGCGCUGACACCAGGCGAAGCCGCCUCUGCCCGGACGCAGCCCGACACUUGGCCCGCGGGGUUCCCCGGGACGCCUGAGAGUAAUGGGCGCGAGGGGGAAAGCCGAACGGCCUCCCUGUGCCCGGCGCAGGCGGUGCCCCCUAGCUGGGUUCGCCGCGGCGGCGCUGCGAGCCCCCGACACUGAGGACUUUUGGUCCAACAGUCCGACGGGGCCCGGUGCGCCGUUCCCUCCGCCCUCUCCCCGCUCCCCGGCCCGCGCGUCUUGGAGGGUGGGUGAAUUGUCGGAAGCACUCUACGCCUGGCCAACCCAAACCAGGAACCUCCGCACCAAACAGCCCACGUUGCUGCUGCUCUGGGGUUUUAACGGCCAAGGGAGACUGGAGAAGGGGUGUUCUGCCUUCCCAUUCUCUUAGGCCCGUCCACUCCCCAUCCCCACAGUUUGGAAGUGGCCUUUUCUGAGGACUCCAGCGCAAAGCAUGUUUCUCCUUUUGAGCUGCGGAAGCCUUGCUUGUUCCCGCCAUUGGGAGGGCAUUCCAUCAUCUGCAGCUGCCUUCCUCGGUGGGCCUUGUCCCUUAGCGUCCACCUAGGGGACAUUCUAAGCUUCUUGAGACCUGCUUGUCCACCCCAACAUGUCUCAGCAUAUGGCUGUGCCCUAAGGGGUCUUUGAGGGCAUUUUAGGAGGUGAGCGGCGCCCCUACCUGGGCUCCGCGGGGCCGAUUCGGUUUGCCCUUUGCUGGCAUGUCAGUGAAUUAACUGCUGUCCUUGGGAUGACCUGCCCUAUGAUUUGGCCUCUGGAGCAUCCCGGGUGUGUAUUUCAGAACUCCUCCCAUCUUAUCCACCUGCUGAAGGCCUGGCCCCCUGAUAUGGUUUGGCUCUGUUUCCCCACCCAAAUCUCACCUUGAAUUUUAAUAAUCCCCACGUGUCAUGGGCGGGACCAGGUGGAGGUAAUUGAAUCAUGGAGGUGGUUUCCUGAACGCUGCUCUCGUGACAGUGAGUUCACAAGAUUUUUUUUUUUAACGGAGUAUCACUCUGUCACUCAGGCUGGAGUGCAGUGGCGCGAUCUUGGUUCACUGCAACCUCUGCCUCCCGGGUUCAAGAGAUUCUCCUGCCUCAGCCUCCCGAGUAGCUGGGAUUACAGGUGCGCGCCAUCACGCCCGGCUAAUGUGUAUUUUUAGUAGAGAAAGGGUUUCACCAUGUUGGUUAGGCUGGUCUGGAACUCCUGACCUUGUGAUCUGCCUGCCUCGGCCUCCCAAAGUGCUGGGAUUACACGCGUGAGCCACUGUGCCCAGCCGAUCUGAUGCUUUUAUAAAGGGCUUUCCCCGUCCCCCUUCCUCUCUCUCACCACCCUGUGAGAAAGGUGCCUUUCUUCCCCCUUCACGUGAACUGCCUCCAUGAUUGUAAGCUUCCUGAGGCCUCCCCAGCUAUAAGGAACUGUGAGCCAAUUAA
rnacentral:lncRNA from 1 species